rnacentral:rRNA from 1 species
AUUGAACGCUGGCGGCAUGCUUUACACAUGCAAGUCGAACGGACUUAGGUGCUUGCACCUAGGUUAGUGGCGAACGGGUGAGUAAUGCAUCGGAACGUACCGUGUAAUGGGGGAUAACGCAGCGAAAGUUGUGCUAAUACCGCAUACGAUCUACGGAUGAAAGCAGGGGAUCGCAAGACCUUGCGUUAUACGAGCGGCCGAUGUCGGAUUAGCUAGUUGGUAGGGUAAAGGCCUACCAAGGCAACGAUCCGUAGCGGGUCUGAGAGGAUGAUCCGCCACACUGGGACUGAGACACGGCCCAGACUCCUACGGGAGGCAGCAGUGGGGAAUUUUGGACAAUGGGCGAAAGCCUGAUCCAGCCAUGCCGCGUGAGUGAAGAAGGC